CAACAAAUCAGGCUGGGUUAAGGCACCUGUGUGAACCGCCCGGCCACUGACAGGUGUCCCUCAGAGGCAGAAGGCUGAACAAUGCUGGAGGAACACCCAGGCGUCUCUCCUCCUCCCUGUUCCUUUUCAUGUGGGACUAGCCUCCUUCCUUAACUAGCUCUCUGCCCUUUCCCUUGACAAAAGCACCACACUAUUAUGUCUGCUGGUUUGUUUAUUCGGCCAAUAAAAGACAGGAGGUUGCGGUUGCGAUACUGUUCGUGUACAAACAAGUCACUCUUGUCGUGGACUGGAUUGAAAGGCGUGCAAGAAAGAGGCCUGUCGGAGUAGGCUUUCCUCCCUGGGAAUCAGUGAUUAGUCACAACCUGGAGCAGGUCACAUACCAAUGCAAAUUUACAGCAGACUUUUAGGUCAGAUCGGGAUGAAGCUCUAACUCUCCUCAUGCUCCACAAAACGGAGGUUCAGGGUCUGCUAAGAAUGAGUAUGACCGGUAUUGCAGACACAAACUGAGAGCAGGAGGGGGGGGGGG